ACGCCCACAGAAACCACUUCAGGGACAUCAAGGAUCUCUCUCAGCCCAGCAACUCUGCGCAUAGCUGUCCUUGGGGGGUCACUGGAGUCAAGCUCGGGAAGACAGAGAAACGAGGGGUGCACGUCGGGAUCCAUGUGGCCGACAGCUGCAGCUCGUCCUCCCGGGAAGCCUGCAUCCCACCUGGCUUCACUCCCAGCAUCCUGUGAACGCCGGGCCCCUGGGAAGCGGGAGCAAGCACAGCGCACACUCGUUAACAAGUAGACACGGGCGGCUCAUGGCAGUGACACCUACUGCUGGCGAUCCUCGCUGGGACAGCUGCAGGGCUGACUUCUCCGUCUUUGCGCGCCCCCGGCUUGACCUAACUGGAGUGCGGAGUGGAAGUUUGAGCACUCGUCUUUGUGCCGCGGGCAGCAACCCUGACCGGGAAGGAAAUCUGGGCAGGCUGAAGGGGCGCGUCGGUGAAAAGAUAGGAGUACAAACACGCGUGCGGGCUCUUCAAAGAAUUUCUGAGUUCUGGAAGCUCGUCCCACACCAUAGCGAACAUAUCAAAAUACUCCUACAGUAUCCAAACACUCUUCAAGAAUUUGAGCUUUGAAAAAUGAGUUAUCAUGGGAAAUUAUUUGGCGACAGGGAACUCAUUUAAUUCAUGAUUGCUAUGACUUCCUGGCAAUCAUGGUAUUAGGAAAUUCUUACCAAGUGAUUUCUAACUUCCAUGUGGUUUUCAAAUACGACCAAAUGUUUAUCAGCAGAGAAAUUACAAUUUGAAGUUGGCACGUUAUGUGUUGGGGACUUUUCUUUGAACAUUUAUUAAUUUCAAAUUUGCAGUGUACUGUUUGCAUUUGGGGGCCAAUAAAAUUUCUUUUUCAGG